rnacentral:SRP_RNA from 1 species
GCUGGGCGCAGUGGCGCGUGCCUGUAGUCCCGGCUACUCGGGAGGCUGAGACAGGAGGAUUGGUUGAGUCCAGGAGUUCUGGGCUGUAGUGCACUAUGCCGAUCGAGUGUCCGCACUAAGUUCAGCAUCAAUAUGGUGACCUCCCGGGAGUGGGGGACCACCAGGUUGCCUAAGGAGGGGUGAACCGGCCCAGAUCGGAAACGGAGCAGGUCAAAAACUUGUCGCCAUGUGUGUUGGCUCACGACUUUAAUCCCAGCACUCGGGAGGCAGAGGUAGGAGGAUCGCCAUGAGUUUGAGGCCACCCUGAGACUACAUAGUGAGUUCCAGGUCAGCCUGGGCCAGAGCGAGACCCUACCUCA